rnacentral:rRNA from 1 species
GGGUCAGUAGGUUGGUCGUGCCACCGUUACGUACUGCUCUCACUGAUUCCUCCUUCCUGAAGAACCGUAAUGCCAUUAAUUUGGUGUUGCGGGGAAACAGGACUGUUACUUUGAAAAAAUUAGAGUGUUUAAAGCAAGCUAACGCUUGAAUACAUUAGCAUGGAAUAAUGAAAUAGGACGAUCGAUCCUAUUUUGUUGGUUUCUAGGAUUGACGUA